UUUGAACCGCAUGGUUCAAAAGUGAAAGACGGUCUUGCUGUCACUUAUAGAUGGAUCCGCGCUGCAUUAGCUAGUUGGUAAGGUAACGGCUUACCAAGGCAACGAUGCAUAGCCGACCUGAGAGGGUGAUCGGCCACACUGGAACUGAGACACGGUCCAGACUCCUACGGGAGGCAGCAGUAGGGAAUCUUCCGCAAUGGGCGAAAGCCUGACGGAGCAACGCCGCGUGAGUGAUGAAGGUCUUCGGAUCGUAAAACUCUGUUAUUAGGGAAGAACAUAUGUGUAAGUAACUGUGCACAUCUUGACGGUACCUAAUCAGAAAGCCACGGCUAACUACGUGCCAGCAGCCGCGGUAAUACGUAGGUGGCAAGCGUUAUCCGGAAUUAUUGGGCGUAAAGCGCGCGUAGGCGGUUUUUUAAGUCUGAUGUGAAAGCCCACGGCUCAACCGUGGAGGGUCAUUGGAAACUGGAAAACUUGAGUGCAGAAGAGGAAAGUGGAAUUCCAUGUGUAGCGGUGAAAUGCGCAGAGAUAUGGAGGAACACCAGUGGCGAAGGCGACUUUCUGGUCUGUAACUGACGCUGAUGUGCGAAAGCGUGGGGAUCAAACAGGAUUAGAUACCCUGGUAGUCCACGCCGUAAACGAUGAGUGCUAAGUGUUAGGGGGGUUCCGCCCCUUA
rnacentral:rRNA from 1 species